ACGAGGCCCCUUCGGGGACUGAGUUAGUGGCGAACGGGUGAGUAACGCGUGAGGAACCUGCCUUUCAGUGGGGGACAACAGUUGGAAACGACUGCUAAUACCGCAUGAAGCAAUUGAACCGCAUGAUUUGAUUGCCAAAGAUUUAUUGCUGAAAGAUGGCCUCGCGUCUGAUUAGCUAGUUGGUGGGGUAACGGCCCACCAAGGCGACGAUCAGUAGCCGGUCUGAGAGGAUGAACGGCCACAUUGGGACUGAGAUACGGCCCAGACUCC
rnacentral:rRNA from 2 species